rnacentral:rRNA from 1 species
GAUGAACGCUGGCGGCGUGCUUAACACAUGCAAGUCGAACGGUGAACGAGGGAGCUUGCUCCCUCCGGAUCAGUGGCGAACGGGUGAGUAACACGUGAGCAAUCUGCCCUGGACUCUGGGAUAAGCGUUGGAAACGACGUCUAAUACCGGAUACGAGGCGUGGGGGCAUCCCCAACGCCUGGAAAGAACUUCGGUCCAGGAUGAGCUUGCGGCCUAUCAGCUAGUUGGUGAGGUAACGGCCCACCAAGGCGACGACGGGUAGCCGGCCUGAGAGGGUGGCCGGCCACACUGGGACUGGGACACGGCCCAGACUCCGACGGGAGGCAGCAGUGGGGAAUAUUGCACAAUGGGCGCAAGCCUGAUGCAGCAACGCCGCGUGAGGGACGACGGCCUUCGUGUUGUAAACCUCUUUUAGCAGGGAAGAAGCGAAAGUGACGGUACCUGCAGAAAAAGCACCGGCUAACUACGUGCCAGCCGCCGCCGUAACAC